rnacentral:rRNA from 1 species
UAAGCAUAUCAAUAAGCGGAGGAAAAGAAACUAACAAGGAUUCCCCUAGUAACUGCGAGUGAAGCGGGAAAAGCUCAAAUUUAAAAUCUGUCAGCUUUGGCUGUCCGAGUUGUAAUCUAGAGAAGCGUUAUCCGCGCUGGACCGUGUACAAGUCUCCUGGAAUGGAGCGUCAUAGAGGGUGAGAAUCCCGUCUUUGACACGGACUGCCAGGGCUUUGUGAUGCGCUCUCAAAGAGUCGAGUUGUUUGGGAAUGCAGCUCAAAAUGGGUGGUAAAUUCCAUCUAAAGCUAAAUAUUGGCGAGAGACCGAUAGCGAACAAGUACCGUGAGGGAAAGAUGAAAAGAACUUUGGAAAGAGAGUUAAACAGUACGUGAAAUUGCUGAAAGGGAAACGCUUGAAGUCAGUCGCGUUGUCCAGGGAUCAACCUUGCUUUUGCUUGGUGUACUUUCUGGUUGACGGGUCAGCAUCAAUUUUGACUAUUGGAAAAAGGUCAGGGGAAUGUGGCAUCUUCGGAUGUGUUAUAGCCCUUGGUUGUAUACAAUGGUUGGGAUUGAGGAACUCAGCACGCCGCAAGGCCGGGUUUUUAACCACGUACGUGCUUAGGAUGCUGGCAUAAUGGCUUUAAUCGACCCGUCUUGAAACACGGACCAAGGAGUCUAACAUGCCUGCGAGUGUUUGGGUGGAAAACCCGAGCGCGUAAUGAAAGUGAAAGUUGAGAUCCCUGUCGUGGGGAGCAUCGACGCCCGGACCAGACCUUUUGUGACGGUUCCGCGGUAGAGCAUGUAUGUUGGGACCCGAAAGAUGGUGAACUAUGCCUGAAUAGGGUGAAGCCAGAGGAAACUCUGGUGGAGGCUCGUAGCGAUUCUGACGUGCAAAUCGAUCGUCAAAUUUGGGUAUAGGGGCGAAAGACUAAUCGAACCAUCUAGUAAGCUGGUUCCUGC